AUACGGAGGGUGCAAGCGUUAAUCGGAAUUACUGGGCGUAAAGCGUACGUAGGCGGUUCGUUAAGUUAGAUGUGAAAGCCCCGGGCUUAACCUGGGAACUGCAUUUAAAACUGGCGGACUAGAGUUGAGUAGAGGGGAGUGGAAUUUCAGGUGUAGCGGUGAAAUGCGUAGAGAUCUGAAGGAACACCAGUGGCGAAGGCGACUCCCUGGACUCGAACUGACGCUGAGGUACGAAAGCGUGGGUAGCAAACGGGAUUAGAAACCCCAGUAGUCC
rnacentral:rRNA from 1 species